UUUUACUGGAGGAAGGUGGGGAUGACGUCAAAUCAUCAUGCCCCUUAUGACCUGGGCUACACACGUGCUACAAUGGACAGAACAAAGGGCUGCGAGACCGCAAGGUUUAGCCAAUCCCAUAAAUCUGUUCUCAGUUCGGAUCGCAGUCUGCAACUCGACUGCGUGAAGCUGGAAUCGCUAGUAAUCGCGGAUCAGCAUGCCGCGGUGAAUACGUUCCCGGGCCUUGUACACACCGCCCGUCACACCACGAGAGUUUGCAACACCCGAAGUCGGUGAGGUAACCUUUAUGGAGCCAGCCGCCGAAGGUGGGGCAGAUGAUUGGGGUGAAGUCGUAGCCAAGG
rnacentral:rRNA from 2 species